UACGAAGGGGGCUAGCGUUGCUCGGAAUUACGGGGCGUAAAGCGCACGUAGGCGGAUCAUUAAGUCGGGGGUGAAAUCCUGGAGCUCAACUCCAGAACUGCCUUCGAUACUGGCGAUCUUGAGUCCGGGAGAGGUGAGUGGAACUCCGAGUGUAGAGGUGAAAUUCGUAGAUAUUCGGAAGAACACCAGUGGCGAAGGCGGCUCACUGGCCCGGUACUGACGCUGAGGUGCGAAAGCGUGGGGGAGCAAACAGG
rnacentral:rRNA from 1 species